AAUAACAUAAAAAUAAUUUGCAAUAAGAAUAUUUAUAAGUAAUAUUAUAUAAAAGCUAUAAUGUUAUCUUUAAAUUUUGUAUAAUUUAUGAAUUUAUGAAAAAUAGUUAAACGAUUAAUUUCAAUAUAAUGUUAAACGGUUAACUUAAAUCAAAAUUUCAGUUAAACUUGAAAAAACCGGGAGACUAUUUUAUAUAUAGUUAACAAUUAUAAAUUAAAGUAUUAAACCUAAAUUGUAAUCCUAAAUUAACAAAAAAAAACCAUGAAACUAUUUUUUAUAGUCAUUAAGAAUUUUCAAAAAUAACUUACAAUAAAAAUAGUUAAAAGUAAUAUUAUAUAAAAAAUAAUAAUGUUAUUUCUAAAAGCAAAAACAAGGUUUGUUGUUUUAAAUAAUUACAAUCAAAGAAACUAACAAUAUUCAUCCGAUAAAUUUUAAAAAAGUUAAAUUUCUAAAACCAAAUUAAAAUAAUUAAGAGUUUCCAAAUACUUAUUUUAAAUAACUUAUGUAACACCCAAAGUUUUGAAGGCCAAGAAAGGAAAGAAAACCUUAAUGUUAAGGGGCGACUCGGCGAGUCCAAGGAGGAACUCGGCGAGUCCGAGCGGGAUCCGGGUCGAGGAGUAAGUGACCGACUCGGCGAGUCGGCCAAGUUGACUCGGCGAGUCUGGUCUGUGCGAGGAAAACCCUAAAUUCGGGACUUGGGGCCUUUAUAAACGCCUUAACCUCCUUCCUAGGGCCCCUUUACUGCGUCUUGCACCCAAAGCAUCGAACCCCAAACCCCAUUGUUGCCCAUUCAAGCUCCCAAGCCAUAUUGAGUGAUUUGAAGGAAGAAGAAGAAGGGGAAAUCAUUGAGGCUUCAAGAAGUGGUCUUGGAUCUGAAGAUUUGGGGAACAUUUCUGAGUAUCUGAAGGUAAUAAGUUGUUUCUCUAUUUUAGACCUUCUAUGGUUGUGAGAUUUGGGGCUUUUAAGGCAUGGUUUGCCACCCAAGUGAGCUAGAAGCCGGAUCUGGAGUUGCUACUUCAGAUCCAAGUGUGUUAUGAGCUGGGGAAGCAUAAAGUAUCAGCUCUUGAGUCGAUUUUGGAGCCCCUUUGGCCUUAAACCCUAGUUUAUGGUGGACUGUGCCUAGAUCUCCUUCUCUACACGUAAAGUUGGCAACUUUACGUGGGGAAUAGGCUUGGGAUGGGUAGAUCUACAGUUUGGAGUCCAUGCAUGACUAGAAAGUCCUCUGCAUGUAAGUAGAUCCGAAUGGACUCGGCGAGUCCUUCGAGUGGACUCGGCGAGUAGCAUGAAGAUAAGGAGGAACUCGACGAGUGGGAUGAACAGCUCGUCGAGUCGGAUGAAGAUGGGCAUGAACUCGGCGAGUUGGAUGAACAACUCGGCGAGUUGGAUGAAGAUUGCCUUGUGCUCGGCGAGUCUGUUCUUAGACUCGGCGAGUCAGGUCGCGUAGUCCCAAACCCUUCGAGUUAAGACUCGAGUCAGCGAGUCGAGCAAGGACUCAGUGAGUUGGUCAGGACAGGAUUCAGGAAUCUGUAGACUCGGCGAGUCAGGGGCUGACUCGGCGAGUCAAGUCGCGAGUGGAAGGACUUUGAGCAUAAGAACUCGGCGAGUCAGUAAGUGGACUCGGCGAGUAGGGUUGACCUGGAAGGUUGACUUUGACCAGGACUUUGACUUUGACAAGAGUUGACUUAGUUGACCUUUGAAGGUCAGUUAGACUAAGUGUUAUGUUGAUAUUGGUAGCUCGGGGAGCUAGUGGAGCAGCAGUUCGGAGUCAGUGGUCAGGUAGCGGUCAAAGGGAUUAGCAGCAGCAGUUCAGCAGUAUCAGGUGAGUUUCCCUUUGUAUGAAUGGGUCUACGGCCACAAUGCCGGCCCAUGUAGUUAUGAGUAGAAGACCCAGGGGUUAGCCCUAGGCCCAGUAUGCUAGUAUGAUAUUCGGGACGAGGUCCAAUGAUAGAGGGCGGGUGCCCAAGUAAUGGUUUAAAUGAUAGUUUAUACUUGUUGUCUGUGUGAUACUUGUAUGUGCCUUGUAGGGAGGUGAGUGUGGGCGAGGUCCCGUAUCUCACCAAUAGCAGAGUGUGGAUGGUGUUCCAUAUCUCAGUAGCAGCGGAUCAGGGGCGAGGCCCAAGUUAGGGAAGGAGGGAGGGGGGGGUGGGCCCGUACCUCACUAUCAGCAGGAGUAUGGACGAGGUUCCAUGACUCAUC
rnacentral:lncRNA from 1 species